rnacentral:lncRNA from 1 species
CGAAAAGGCACUUAGUGGAUUUUUUUCUUACAUCAAUGACACCAGUAGGGGCCAAACCCACUCUCCCUGCCCCACGAGCACCACCGAAUUUCUUACUUCUGAUCUCUCAUAAAAAGGCGACAUCAUUUUGAAAAUUCCCAUAGAAAUAAUACAAGGAAAGGUUUCCUGAACACAGUCGGGCAGUUAUUUCUUCACUGUGUCCAUUUGGAAGGAAAGCCUCAGCAGGGAGGCUCAUGGCUUGCUGCCAUGGUGUCGGUGCACCGAGGUCUGGGCUCAGUGCCCCCAGGAUGGAGUAGGGGCGGGAAGCCAGCACCUUCAUUUUUACCCAGGGAGGUUGCACGACCUGCCCAGCGUCAUGCUGCUGUCCUCUGGAGGCCAGUUGGAACUCAGGCCAUGGCCCCUGGAGCCUGGGCUCUCAGCCCUCACCGUUCCUCCUCUCACAGGACACAGAGCAUGGAGGAUCACCCAGCACGCUGCAGUCCUGGGACCCCUCUCCCCGCGCACCUGUGGGCAAAGCCGGAGCCUGGGCUAUGACUUCUGAGGGCCUGGGCUGUCCUGGGGGAAAGUUUAGAGUUGGUUCUUUAGGCAACUUGUAACAAUUACCAUCACCCCGUGGAGGGGUUUCAUGUUGUUCCUAAUUAGCCUCACAAACCACGUAACCACCACGUUUCUCUGGAUGAAGAUCUCAAAGCCACCCACCCCCUCCCCCUACCCUUCAGCCUUGCCUCCCACCAAAAGCGAAGAUACAGAAGGAUAAGGAAUUGUGGCUGACAAGAGAGCAGGUGGCAUGUGUGUUCUGAUGUCAGCCUCUUUAAGGGUGUUGAUAAGUAUUUCUGUCUAGCAGAAGAAAGGAGGUUCCAGAAUGUUCUGGUACAAAGAGAUCCGGACAAGCUACCGAGCUUGUGACCUCGGUCCUGGCCGGGCUGCACCCCUGGCUUUAGACCAGUGAGAAAGAUGGUCGGUGCCAUCAGCGUGUGUGAUUCGGGAAGACGUUGGUGAGGACCGCGAUAAACGCUCCAUCCAGAGCCCUGGCGCCCAGACCCUCAGUGACAUGUCCUCUGAAGAGUCCCCUGGGGACCUCCGGCUUCAUGGAUCUGUCGUCCACCAUGUGGCGUUUCAGUCUCACAGACACCCCUGUUCUUGCUGGGAAUCUUUCUGCCAGCUACAAAAGACUGUGUCCAUGACCCCUUUCUCACUGUUUUCACAAAAUCCUUCUCCAGAACCACAGAGGGUUUUAUUUUUAACCAAAUAUUAAAUGAGAGCCAUGGCCUUG